rnacentral:rRNA from 1 species
UACGUAGGGGGCAAGCGUUGUCCGGAUUUAUUGGGCGUAAAGAGCGUGUAGGCGGCCUUACAGGUCAGCUGUGAAACUCGAGGCUCAACUUCGAGCUGUCGGUGGAAACUUUCUGGCUAGAGUCCGGAAGAGGAGAAUGGAAUUCCUGGUGUAGCGGUGAAAUGCGCAGAUAUCAGGAAGAACACCCGUGGCGAAGGCGGUUCUCUGGGACGGUACUGACGCUGAGACGCGAAAGCGUGGGGAGCGAACAGG